rnacentral:rRNA from 1 species
GAUGAACGUUGGCGGCGUGCUUAACACAUGCAAGUCGAACGCAGAUAGCAAUAUUUGAGUGGCGCACGGGUGAGUAACACGUAGCUUACCUACCCUGGAGAGCGGGAUAACGUUCCGAAAGGAAUGCUAAUACCGCAUAAGCUCCCGAAUUCUAGAGAUUUGGGAGAAAACGGCGUAAGUCGCUUCAGGAUGGGGCUGCGGCCCAUCAGCUAGUUGGUGAGGUAAAGGCUUACCAAGGCUACGACGGGUAGGGGACCUGAGAGGGUGACCCCCCACACUGGGACUGAGACACGGCCCAGACUCCUACGGGAGGCUG